CUCCUCUCAGGAUCACACCUGGAGAGUUUCCAGUACUCUACAAGUCUUGGCCAAGAGAGGGAGAGUUGAGCAGAGGCCUACCCAUUUCAUUCCUAGCUUGUCCAGUGGCUAGCAAGUGGAAGGCAAUCUGCUACAAGU
rfam:Ornithorhynchus anatinus chromosome 14, whole genome shotgun sequence.